rnacentral:rRNA from 1 species
UACGUAGGGAGCAAGCGUUGUCCGGAAUCAUUGGGCGUAAAGCGCGCGUAGGUGGCUUCGUAAGUCCGUUGUGAAAGUCAAAGGCUCAACCUUUGAAAGCCGAUGGAUACUGCGGAGCUAGAGUACGGAAGAGGCGAGUGGAAUUCCUGGUGUAGCGGUGGAAUGCGCAGAUAUCAGGAGGAACACCAAUAGCGAAGGCGCUCGCU